AUGACAUCUCGCACCACACUGAUAAAAUAUCCUACACACACACUUGGACUCCACCAAGUGGCUGGUUUCUUCAAUAAAACAGUAAAAACACUCCAAAUGAACAGGACAAAAGACCAAUCUUUACCAGCCAGUUUCCAUCGUCAUCUUUUCCCUUGAAUUGGACCUUGGACAUGGACGCCAUGUAAUGGGACGGCGCCACCGGGGAGACCAGGAGCAGAGAGAUGAGCAGUAGCAGCAGCAUGAUGCUUGUGCUUCUUGCUCCGGUCUCUGCUCGAGAUCCUUUUUAAGCAUCCUGUGGCAUGAUGAGAAUGCUGCAGAGCAGAUGAAUAUCCAGCCAAACUUGACAUUGAAAACAGUUAUUUCAUGUAUUAGUCGACCAUCCAGUUUCAUCCGGCUAACUCCAAGUGACUGAGGGAUUAACGGGGCGACACCUGAAGCAGCCCUGGGGCACGCUGAACACAAUGUGCAGAGAAGGUUCACCCCUCUUUCUUUGUGUUUGUCUCCUUCGCUCCACGUUUGGUGUCGACUCUUUUGGUUCAUCGUUCCUUUUCGCCUUUUUAUUAGUGAUGGGUAAAUGAGGCAUCAUUAAGCUUUUCAACACACUGUGUUGAUACUGUGUUGAUGCUGUGUCACUGAAUACUGACACCUGCAGGACAUUAAAAAUCCCUGCAGGCAACCUUCUUUAAAUAAAGUAUCUUUGUAACCUAUCUGAAACCUAUCCUUAAAUAAUGUGAACAUGUAUCGUAUGUGAAAAACCUGAAAACG